CAAUAGCGUAUAUUAAAGUUGUUGCGGUAAAAAAGCUCGUAGUUGGAUUUCUGUUGAGAGCGACCGGUCCAUACCAUGUAUGCGUAUCAGGCUUGCUCUCGGCAUCCUCUCGAUAGACGUUACUGCGCUUGAUUGCGUGGUGCGGAUCUCGGGACUUUUACUUUGAGGAAAUUAGAGUGUUCACGGCAGGCUUUCGCCAGAAUACAUUAGCAUGGAAUAAUACUAUAGGAUCUUGGUUCUAUUUUGUUGGUUUCUAGAAUUGAGAUAAUGAUUAAUAGGGACAAUUGGGGGCAUUCGUAUCAACACGUCAGAGGUGGAAUUCUUGGAUUGUGUUGCGACGAACUACUGCGAAAGCAUUUGCCAAGGAUGUUUUCAUUGA
rnacentral:rRNA from 1 species